GAUGAACGCUGGCGGCGUGCCUAAUACAUGCAAGUCGAGCGAACGGACGAGAAGCUUGCUUCUCUGAUGUUAGCGGCGGACGGGUGAGUAACACGUGGAUAACCUACCUAUAAGACUGGGAUAACUUCGGGAAACCGGAGCUAAUACCGUAUAAUAUUUUGAACCGCAUGGUUCAAAAGUGAAAGACGGUCUUGCUGUCACUUAUAGAUGGAUCCGCGCUGCAUUAGCUAGUUGGUAAGGUAACGGCUUACCAAGGCAACGAUGCAUAGCCGACCUGAGAGGGUGAUCGUCCACACUGGAACUGAGACACGGUCCAGACUCCUACGGGAGGCAGCAGUAGGGAAUCUUCCGCAAUGGGCGAAAGCCUGACGGAGCAACGCCGCGUGAGUGAUGAAGGUCUUCGGAUCGUAAAACUCUGUUAUUAGGGAAGAACAUAUGUGUAAGUAACUGUGCACAUCUUGACGGUACCUAAUCAGAAAGCCACGGCUAACUACGUG
rnacentral:rRNA from 1 species